rnacentral:rRNA from 3 species
AUGACUCUCGGCAACGGAUAUCUCGGCUCUCGCAUCGAUGAAGAACGUAGCGAAAUGCGAUACUUGGUGUGAAUUGCAGAAUCCCGUGAACCAUCGAGUUUUUGAACGCAAGUUGCGCCCGAAACCAUUAGGUUGAGGGCACGUCUGCCUGGGUGUCACAC